rnacentral:rRNA from 1 species
AUGUUCUUCGGAGCCGCCGCUCCGACUUCCUCACCGGCCCCGAGGCCGCGCACACGCCUGGCCGAUGAAGAACCCACAAAGCCACCCGAGCCACCGCGAGCUGACGAGGACCAGACCUCCAAGGCGUCGCCCCCAAGAGGGAAGCGACAAGAAUGCCGCCGAUGCCCGUUCCGACCAAGGUCGAAACUUGGGUUUUCACCCAGAGAGCCCGAGACCGAGGCGACAAUGGUGGUGAAGGGGCUCCACGACGACGCCUCCAAGGAGGGAACGACGUCCGAGGACGCUGUCGACGCUGGCAACGACCGAGGUUGA